CAGAACUGCAGCCCAAGCCCGCCCUGCAGCCCCCACUCAUUAAUUCAGCAAACAUUUGCCGACCGUCUCAGUGCCAGGCGCGAGCUGGCCACUGCGGCUGCGGCGACGAGUCACACGGGGACGCAGCGCCACCACCCCCCAUCUCACAGCCCACAGAGGAGACAGGCACAGAUAACAGAACCCUGGGCAUGACACAACACGGACGCAGAUGCACCAUAAGGCAUGGAUUUGGGAGGGCAGCCAAGGGAACACACUUCAGAGUGACACAAGGAAAGACCAAAGCUAGACCCCAGGAAGAACUUCCAAGGUCCAGGAAUAGGACUGAGUUUGCAAGAGAAAGACCAGGGAAUCCUUGAGAAGAAAAAAGCCCCUCACACAUCUCGGCAUGGAGUCGCCAAGCUGUCCCUCCCAGACCCCUCCUGCCAACAUGAUUCCUUCCUGGCCCCUGUCCAGCAGAUGGAGUCCAGGGCACCCCUCUGAGGAGGCACAGCAUCCAGCCUUAACCACCACCCCCUCUCAAGGGGUACUGAGGAACUGGAGUGAGAGGGCACAGCUGGAGCCAAAGACAGAGAAGGAAAUUCUGUGACCACAGAGGACAACUGAAGGGAAAUUGCAGCAAAAGAGAGCUGGGCAGACAGACUCUGGCAAGUGAAGAGACUAUGUCAGCUUUUCUUGAUCUUCUGACCAGAAAUUCUACAACACUGAUGAAGUGGCUUUGUCAGGAUUUCGAGGAGACAGGGAGGGAUGGCACAGGAAACUGAGUUCAAAUUCCAGCCUUAUACUCAUAAGCAUGCUGACACACAAGGUGGUCAUGAGAACUUGGAGCCAUGAGAGUCCUGAGCAUGGGGCCUGAAACAUGGCAGGAGCUCUAUAACCAGAGGCAGGUUUGUAUUUUUCUCUGCUUCUUUCUUCUAUCAUCUGAGCAAAGGGGCCACACCUCUUCCCUGAGACUGGGGCAUCCUGAGGAUAAGGGCUUUGUUUCUACCAUCAGCCUUUCAUCAACUGUCCUUGGGACCAGAAGGUACCCGGGCAGGCUGCUGUCGGGAAUGAACAUUCACUGCCUUUAUCAGUACUUUCAUUAUCAUCAGUAUAUCACUCUCUGUGGCUGUAGCCCCAGCAGCACACACCCAGCUAGGCUCUCAGCUUUUGUUUAAAGAAGUCAUCCCCCCCCCAUCACAUUGCCACAAAGGCACACCAAAGUUCCCACAUGAGCCCCAUCUCAGGGGGCCACACUGGGUCCAAGAGCUCCCAUUGUAUCCUUUUCACUGAUACCCCCAUCGAGGGGUGCCAGGAGCGGGCCUAGAAAAAGAAAGACACUGAGUCAUUCUGAUUCCUGCUUCAGGGAGCCAGAGCUGGCAGCAGCCCAGCUGGCCCCUCCAAGGGGGAA